GCUCCACGGAACAUCCAUUAUGCUAAGCCUUUUCGAUUAACACGAAAAAAUUCGCCUAGUCAAAUCCGCCCGUUCGUGCUUGCGCCUAGUCCUGCCAGUCAAGUUGACAACCAAGCAAUUGGACGAAUGGGGCUGUGCCAAAAUGCGAAGCAAGCUUGCGCCGACAACGGAGAGUAGUAGAAAACCUGAGCUUUACCGAUAGCUCACAAUAGCAUGCAGAUGCAGCUACGUCAUAAAUUAUAUAUCUCCAACCUUGAUCCAUCGUCAUACUCUACAAGCCAUCAAUCAUAAGGAUGUCAGCGGAGAAACGCCUGAC
rnacentral:sRNA from 1 species